GACGAACGCUGGCGGCGUGCUUAACACAUGCAAGUCGAACGGAAAGGCCCCUUUGGGGGUACUCGAGUGGCGAACGGGUGAGUAACACGUGAGUAACCUGCCCUUGACUUCGGGAUAACUUCAGGAAACUGGGGCUAAUACCGGAUAGGAAUCCUUGCUGCAUGGUGGGGGUUGGAAAGCUUCGGCGGUUUUGGAUGGACUCGCGGCUUAUCAGCUUGUUGGUGGGGUAGUGGCUUACCAAGGCUUUGACGGGUAGCCGGCCUGAGAGGGCGACCGGCCACAUUGGGACUGAGAUACGGCCCAGACUCCUACGGGAGGCAGCAGUGGGGAAUAUUGCACAAGGGGCGGAAGCCUGAUGCAGCAACGCCGCGGGCGGGAUGACGGCCUUCGGGUUGGAAACCGCUUUCAGCAGGGGCGAAGCUUGUGGUGACGGUACCUGCAGAAGAAGCACCGGCUAACUACGUG
rnacentral:rRNA from 1 species